rnacentral:rRNA from 1 species
ACGUGGGUAACCUGCCUGUAAGACUGGGAUAACUCCGGGAAACCGGGGCUAAUACCGGAUGGUUGUCUGAACCGCAUGGUUCAGACAUAAAAGGGUGGCUUCGGGCUACCACUUUACCAGAUGAGACCCGGCGGCGCAUUAGCUAGUUGGUGAGGUAACGGCUCACCAAGGCGACGAUGCGUAGCCGACCUGAGAGGGUGAUCGGCCACACUGGGACUGAGACACGGCCCAGACUCCUACGGGAGGCAGCAGUAGGGAAUCUUCCGCAAUGGACGAAAGUCUGACGGAGCAACGCCGCGUGAGUGAUGAAGGUUUUCGGAUCGUAAAGCUCUGUUGUUAGGGAAGAACAAGUGCCGUUCAAAUAGGGCGGCACCUUGACGGUACCUAACCAGAAAGCCACGGCUAACUACGUGCCAGCAGCCGCGGUAAUACGUAGGUGGCAAGCGUUGUCCGGAAUUAUUGGGCGUAAAGGGCUCGCAGGCGGUUUCUUAAGUCUGAUGUGAAAGCCCCCGGCUCAACCGGGGAGGGUCAUUGGAAACUGGGGAACUUGAGUGCAGAAGAGGAGAGUGGAAUUCCACGUGUAGCGGUGAAAUGCGUAGAGAUGUGGAGGAACACCAGUGGCGAAGGCGACUCUCUGGUCUGUAACUGACGCUGAGGAGCGAAAGCGUGGGGAGCGAACAGGAUUAGAUACCCUGGUAGUCCACGCCGUAAACGAUGAGUGCUAAGUGUUAGGGGGUUUCCGCCCCUUAGUGCUGCAGCUAACGCAUUAAGCACUCCGCCUGGGGAGUACGGUCGCAAGACUGAAACUCAAAGGAAUUGACGGGGGCCCGCACAAGCGGUGGAGCAUGUGGUUUAAUUCGAAGCAACGCGAAGAACCUUACCAGGUCUUGACAUCCUCUGACAAUCCUAGAGAUAGGACGUCCCCUUCGGGGGCAGAGUGACAGGUGGUGCAUGGUUGUCGUCAGCUCGUGUCGUGAGAUGUUGGGUUAAGUCCCGCAACGAGCGCAACCCUUGAUCUUAGUUGCCAGCAUUCAGUUGGGCACUCUAAGGUGACUGCCGGUGACAAACCGGAGGAAGGUGGGGAUGACGUCAAAUCAUCAUGCCCCUUAUGACCUGGGCUACACACGUGCUACAAUGGACAGAACAAAGGGCAGCGAAACCGCGAGGUUAAGCCAAUCCCACAAAUCUGUUCUCAGUUCGGAUCGCAGUCUGCAACUCGACUGCGUGAAGCUGGAAUCGC